UACGAAGGGGGCUAGCGUUGUUCGGAAUUACUGGGCGUAAAGCGUGCGCAGGCGGCCAUCCAAGUCAGUGGUGAAAGCCCGGAGCUCAACUCCGGAAUUGCCAUUGAAACUGUUUGGCUCGAGUACGAGAGAGGUGAGUGGAAUUCCCAGUGUAGAGGUGAAAUUCGUAGAUAUUGGGAAGAACACCAGUGGCGAAGGCGGCUCACUGGCCCGUAACUGACGCUGAGGUGCGAAAGCGUGGGGAGCAAACAGG
rnacentral:rRNA from 1 species